UUAUGCAUUUCAUAUUUAUUUAAAUUGAGCAUUUAGUAUCUACACGAGCUAUUUAUUUAAGCAAACACUGAAGAAUUAUUACAGUUUUCAUAAUACAACCCGGAAGACUUUUUAUUUUAUUUUACUUUCCUUCACCUACUCUUCCACACCCACCUACUUCCUCCACCUUUCCUCCCACUUUCAGCUACUCCCACCCAACUACUCCUCUAAAUAACCCUCAAAGUAUAGAUCAAUCAUCACUUCCUUUCUCUCCUCAAGUCACGCUGCUUUCGAUCAAGAAGGGGGUAAGGAUUUAAUGUUCCUCCUUUCACAAACUGUUUCACCUCAUCCACUACUAAUGUGUUGGUGAUUACUUAUUCUGCAGAAACAACAAAUUCACAAUAUACAUCCCUCAUAUCUCAAGGCUUUAUGAACCAAGGGGAUUAGCGCUGCUUUCCCAAGACGAGUUUAUGUGAUUAUAAUCUUCAGGCUUUGCCUAUCCAGGUUGAGCAGCUGAUGGAAUGGAAUGAUGUUGAGCGGGUGUUCCUUUGACAUUUCAAGAAAUGUAACCUUGAGUAUACAUCUUCAUAUGUAUAUCUCACACGUUUUUCGCUGCAAAACACUUUGAUUAGGAUAACUUUAUGUUAUGAAAUUGUGACACGUGUUAUUGGGUAACCCACCUUAAUCAGUUCUCAUUUAUGUAUAUGUUUUAUAAGUAUCCAAAUAAUCAUAUAUGAUCCUAGCAUUUUAUCUA